rnacentral:rRNA from 1 species
ACGCCGCGUGAGGGAGGAGGCUCUUGGGUUGUAAACCUCUUUUCUCAAGGAAGAUAAUGACGGUACUUGAGGAAUCAGCAUCGGCUAACUCCGUGCCAGCAGCCGCGGUAAUACGGAGGAUGCAAGCGUUAUCCGGAAUAAUUGGGCGUAAAGCGUUCGUAGGUGGUUCUGUAAGUCUGCUGUUAAAGCGUGUAGCUCAACUACAUAUAGGCGGUGGAAACUACAGAACUUGAGUGCGUUCGGGGUAGAGGGAAUUCCUGGUGUAGCGGUGAAAUGCGUAGAGAUCAGGAAGAACACCGGUGGCGAAGGCGCUCUACUAGACCGCAACUGACACUGAGGGACGAAAGCUAGGGGAGCGAAUGGGAUUAGAUACCCCAGUAGUC